UCAUUUUGUAAAAAGUUUAUUUGUCAUAUACAUAUAUAUAUAUGUUUUACAUUCAUAACAAACAUGAAUCAAAUAAACAAAUUUUGAUCCCAACUCUAUUAUCGUUCACUCAUCAUUUAUACAUCAACAAUCUCUACAGACACAGCAGAGAUGAAACAUAAUAGUAAACAGUUUCUGCAAACAUGACAUCCACUGAAUCAAAAUGUGAACAGCUUCUACAAAUAUGGUGGCCAUUGAAACAAAAUUGUAAACAUUUCUGAAUGGCAGCCACUGAAUCUAAAUUGUAAACAAUUUCUAGAAACAUUUCAGUAAUAGAAACUUAAUGGUAAUUAGUUGCUGCAUGGUGGCCACAUGAUCUAAAUUGUAAAGUUUUUGCAUGUCAGCCACUGAAUCUAAAUUGUUAACAGUUUCUGCAUGGCAGCCACUGAAUCUAAAUUGUUAACAGUUUCUGCAUGGCAGCCACUUUAUCUAAAUUGUAAACAUUUUCUGCAAACAUUGCAGCCACAGAAUCUAACUUGUUAACAAUCUCUGCAAAUAUUGCUAUCAUUGGAACUAAAUUGUAAAAUAUUUCUGCAUGGCAGCCACUGAAUCCAAAUUGUUAACAGUUUUUGAAUGGCAGCCACCAUAUCUAAAUUGUUAACAUUUCUGCAUGACAGCCACUGAGUCUAAAUUGUUAACAUUUUCUGCAUGGCAGUCACUGAAUCUAAAGUGGUUAACAGUUUCUGCAUGCGACUAUUGAAUCUAAAGUGUUAAGUUUCUGCAUGGCAGUCACUGAAUCUAAAGUGUUAACAGUUUCUGCAUGGCAGCUAUUGAAUCUAAAGUGUUAACAGUUUCUGAAUGGCAGCCACUUUAUCUAAAUUGUAAACAUUUUCUGCAAACAUUGCAGCCACAGAAUCUAACUUGUUACAAUCUCUGCAAAAUUGCUAUCAUUGAACUAAAUUGUAAAAUAUUUCUGCAUGGCAGCCACUGAAUCCAAAUGUUAACAGUUUUUGAAUGGCAGCCACCAUAUCUAAAUUGUUAACAUUUCUGCAUGACAGCCACUGAGUCUAAAUUGUUAACAUUUUCUGCAUGGCAGUCACUGAAUCUAAAGUGUUAACAGUUUCUGCAUGCGGCUAUUGAAUCUAAAGUGUUAAGUUUCUGCAUGGCAGUCACUGAAUCUAAAGUGUUAACAGUUUCUGCAUGGCAGCUAUUGAAUCUAAAGUGUUAACAGUUUCUGCAUGGCAGGUAUUGAAUAAAAAUGUCAACAGUUUUUAUAAAUAUGGAUGCUAUAUCAAAAUGUGAACCGACUCAGCAAAAAUAAAGGUGUUUGAUUGAAAAUGUGUAAAAAAAACGUACAUGUAUU
rnacentral:lncRNA from 1 species